rnacentral:rRNA from 1 species
GUGCCAGCCGCCGCGGUAAUACGUAGGUCCCGAGCGUUGUCCGGAUUUAUUGGGCGUAAAGCGAGCGCAGGCGGUUAGAUAAGUCUGAAGUUAAAGGCUGUGGCUUAACCAUAGUACGCUUUGGAAACUGUUUAACUUGAGUGCAAGAGGGGAGAGUGGAAUUCCAUGUGUAGCGGUGAAAUGCGUAGAUAUAUGGAGGAACACCGGUGGCGAAAGCGGCUCUCUGGCUUGUAACUGACGCUGAGGCUCG